rnacentral:rRNA from 1 species
AGAGCGAACGCUGGCGGCAGGCCUAACACAUGCAAGUCGAGCGCCCGUAGCAAUACGGGAGCGGCAGACGGGAUAGUAACACGUGGGAACGCGCCCUUCGGUUCGGAAUAACUCAGGGAAACUUGAGCUAAUACCGAAUACGCCCUUACGGGGAAAGAUUUAUUGCCGAAGGAACGGCCCGCGUCCGAUUAGCUAGUUGGUGAGGUAAUGGCUCACCAAGGCUACGAUCGGUAGCUGGUCUGAGAGGAUGACCAGCAUCACUGGGACUGAGACACGGCCCAGACUCCUACGGGAGGCAGCAGUGGGGAAUAUGGACAAUGGGCGCAAGCCUGAUCCAGCCAUGCCGCGUGGAUGAUGAAGGCCUUAGGGUUGUAAAGUCCUUUUAACGGGGAAGAUAAUGACGGUACCCGUAGAAUAGCCCCGGCUAACUUCGUGCCAGCAGCCGC